AGUAGUUUGAUCAUGGCUACAGAACGAACGCUGGCGGCAGGCUUAACACAUGCAAGUCGAACGCGUGUAGCAAUACACGAGUGGCGCACGGGUGAGUAACGCGUGGAUAUCUGCCUUUUGGUUCGGAAUAACUCCGGGAAACUGGAGCUAAUACCGGAUGGUUCCUACGGGAUAAAGAUUUAUCGCCAAAAGAUGAGUCCGCGUACGAUUAGCUAGUUGGUGAGGUAAUGGCUCACCAAGGCGACGAUCGUUAGCUGGUCUGAGAGGACGAUCAGCCACACUGGGACUGAGACACGGCCCAGACUCCUACGGGAGGCAGCAGUGGGGAAUAUUGGACAAUGGGGGCAACCCUGAUCCAGCCAUGCCGCGUGAGUGACGAAGGCCUUCGGGUUGUAAAGCUCUUUUGGCGGGGACGAUGAUGACGGUACCCGCAGAAUAAGCCCCGGCUAACUUCGUG
rnacentral:rRNA from 1 species